AUUGAACGCUGGCGGCAUGCCUUACACAUGCAAGUCGAACGGCAGCACGGGCUUCGGUCUGGUGGCGAGUGGCGAACGGGUGAGUAAUGUAUCGGAACGUACCCUUCAGUGGGGGAUAACUAUCCGAAAGGAUAGCUAAUACCGCAUAUUCUCUGAGGAGGAAAGCGGGGGAUCGCAAGACCUCGCGCUGAUGGAGCGGCCGAUAUCAGAUUAGCUAGUUGGGGGGGUAAAGGCCUACCAAGGCGACGAUCUGGAGCGGGUCUGAGAGGAUGAGCCUCCACACUGGGGCUGAGGCACGGCCCAGGCUUCUACGGGAGGCAGCAGGGGGGAAUUUUGGACAAUGGGGGCAACCCUGAUCCAGCCAUGCCGCGUGAGUGAAGAAGGCCUUCGGGUUGUAAAGCUCUUUCGGCCGGGAAGAAAUCGCGUGAGUUAAUACCUUGCGUGGAUGACGGUACCGGAAUAAGAAGCACCGGCUAACUACGUGCCAGCCGCCGCAGUAAAAC
rnacentral:rRNA from 1 species